GGAAGGAUGCCGGAGUCAGGCUAAACGGGCCCGUUUCGAACGCGGGAGACCUUGCGGUUACAUGGGUUCAAAUCCCAUUCCUUCCUCCA
rnacentral:tRNA from 1 species